rnacentral:rRNA from 1 species
GAGUUUGAUCCUGGCUCAGAUUGAACGCUGGCGGCAGGCCUAACACAUGCAAGUCGAGCGGUAGAGAGAAGCUUGCUUCUCUUGAGAGCGGCGGACGGGUGAGUAAUGCCUAGGAAUCUGCCUGGUAGUGGGGGAUAACGCUCGGAAACGGACGCUAAUACCGCAUACGUCCUACGGGAGAAAGCAGGGGACCUUCGGGCCUUGCGCUAUCAGAUGAGCCUAGGUCGGAUUAGCUAGUUGGUGAGGUAAUGGCUCACCAAGGCGACGAUCCGUAACUGGUCUGAGAGGAUGAUCAGUCACACUGGAACUGAGACACGGUCCAGACUCCUACGGGAGGCAGCAGUGGGGAAUAUUGGACAAUGGGCGAAAGCCUGAUCCAGCCAUGCCGCGUGUGUGAAGAAGGUCUUCGGACUGUAAAGCACUUUAAGUUGGGAGAAGGGCAGUAAAUUAAUACUUUGCUGUUUUGACGUUACCGACAGAAUAAGCACCGGCUAACUCUGUGCCAGCCGCCG